rnacentral:ncRNA from 1 species
GAGAGUCUUAGAAUCCCCACAGGACAAGUGUGUAAAUAGUGGUGUCUUUGGCCGGGCAUAACGGUUUGUGAAUC